rnacentral:rRNA from 1 species
GACGAACGCUGGCGGCGUGCUUAACACAUGCAAGUCGAACGGAAAGGCCCUGCUUUUGUGGGGUGCUCGAGUGGCGAACGGGUGAGUAACACGUGAGUAACCUGCCCUUGACUUUGGGAGAACUUCAGGAAACUGGGGCUAAUACCGGAUAGGAGCUCCUGCUGCAUGGUGGGGGUUGGAAAGUUUCGGCGGUUGGGGAUGGACUCGCGGCUUAUCAGCUUGAUGGUGGGGUAGUGGCUUACCAAGGCUUUGACGGGUAGCCGGCCUGAGAGGGUGACCGGCCACAUUGGGACUGAGGUACGGCCCAGACUCCUACGGGAGGCAGCAGUGGGGAAUAUUGCAGAAUGGGCGGAAGCCUGAUGCAGCAACGCCGCGUGCGGGAUGACGGCCUUCGGGUUGUAAACCGCUUUCGCCUGUGACGAAGCGUGAGUGACGGUAAUGGGUAAAGAAGCACCGGCUAACUACGUG